UACGUAGGGUGCAAGCGUUAAUCGGAAUUACUGGGCGUAAAGCGUGCGCAGGCGGCUUUGCAAGACAGAUGUGAAAUCCCCGGGCUCAACCUGGGAACUGCAUUUGUGACUGCAAGGCUAGAGUACGGUAGAGGGGGAUGGAAUUCCGCGUGUAGCAGUGAAAUGCGUAGAUAUCGGAAGGAACGCCGGUGGCGAAAGCGGCGUGCUGGACCCCUUCUGACGCUGAGGCGCGAAAGCCAGGGGAGCAAACGGG
rnacentral:rRNA from 1 species